AAUAUUCAGAGGAUGAAGAGGGAGAUAUGAUAAUACCAACAGUCAUCUGUGCUUCAGUUUCUGUGGCUUUUUUUCUCACGCUGGCCUCAGUGAUGCUGGUGUUCAUCUGCAGAAAACAGCAUCAAAGAAAACAACCAGAUGCAGUGAGAAAUCCUCCCGACAUGGACUUUGCAGACGUGGGGCCAUACAGCACCUUCAUCCCCACUGAGGCUGGACUUUACUCAGUGGUCCGGCUUCACCGCUCAGAGGCACUCAGAGAAUUCAGACAGGAGAACACGAGAAAACCCCUCUGGGUGUUUUCAAAGUGGU